rnacentral:rRNA from 1 species
CUGAUGGCGAGUGGCGAACGGGUGAGUAAUACAUCGGAACGUGUCCUGGAGUGGGGGAUAGCCCGGCGAAAGCCGGAUUAAUACCGCAUACACUCUAAGGAGGAAAGGGGGGGAUCUUCGGACCUCUCGCUCAAGGGCGGCCGAUGGCAGAUUAGCUAGUUGGUGGGGUAAAGGCCUACCAAGGCGACGAUCUGUAGCUAGUCUGAGAGGACGACCAGCCACGCUGGGACUGAGACACGGCCCAGACUCCUACGGGAGGCAGCAGUGGGGAAUUUUGGACAAUGGGCGCAAGCCUGAUCCAGCAAUGCCGCGUGUGUGAAGAAGGCCUUCGGGUUGUAAAGCACUUUUGUCCGGAAAGAAAACCUCGUGGUUAAUACCCGUGGGGGAUGACGGUACCGGAAGAAUAAGCACCGGCUAACUACGUGCCAGCAGCCGCGGUAAUAUGUAGGGUGCAAGCGUUAAUCGGAAUUACUGGGCGUAAAGCGUGCGCAGGCGGUUCGCUAAGACAGAUGUGAAAUCCCCGGGCUUAACCUGGGAACUGCAUUUGUGACUGGCGGGCUAGAGUAUGGCAGAGGGGGGUAGAAUUCCACGUGUAGCAGUGAAAUGCGUAGAGAUGUGGAGGAAUACCGAUGGCGAAGGCAGCCCCCUGGGCCAAUACUGACGCUCAUGCACGAAAGCGUGGGGAGCAAACAGGAUUAGAUACCCUGGUAGUCCACGCCCUAAACGAUGUCAACUGGUUGUUGGGCCUUCAUUGGCUUGGUAACGUAGCUAACGCGUGAAGUUGACCGCCUGGGGAGUACGGUCGCAAGAUUAAAACUCAAAGGAAUUGACGGGGACCCGCACAAGCGGUGGAUGAUGUGGAUUAAUUCGAUGCAACGCGAAAAACCUUACCUACCCUUGACAUGGUCGGAAUCCUGCUGAGAGGUGGGAGUGCCCGAAAGAGAACUG